rnacentral:tRNA from 1 species
GGUUGUGUAGUGUAGUGGUUAUCACUGUAGGUUUCCGAGAAGCACUCCGGCAUCCAUCACGUACUGACUCCCGUCGAGCCGGAUUUUGAUCACACGCCAUCAAGCGUCUUCCGGCAACCCCGGUUCGAGCCCGGGCACGACCU